rfam:Caenorhabditis japonica strain DF5081 Contig4973.1, whole genome shotgun sequence.
AGCUUUGCGCUGGGGCGAUAACGUGACCAAUGAGGCUCUGCCGAGGUGCGUUUAUUGCUGGUUGAAAACUUUUCCCAAUUGCCCGCGAUGGCCCCUGAAAUAUGGGUG